rnacentral:rRNA from 1 species
UACGAAGGGGGCUAGCGUUGCUCGGAAUCACUGGGCGUAAAGCGCACGUAGGCGGAUUUUUAAGUCAGGGGUGAAAUCCUGGAGCUCAACUCCAGAACUGCCUUUGAUACUGGGAAUCUCGAGUCCGGAAGAGGUGAGUGGAACUGCGAGUGUAGAGGUGAAAUUCGUAGAUAUUCGCAAGAACACCAGUGGCGAAGGCGGCUCACUGGACCGGUUCUGACGCUGAGGCGCGAAAGCGUGGGGAGCAAACGGG